UACGAAGGGUGCAAGCGUUGUUCGGAAUUACUGGGCGUAAAGCGCGCGUAGGCGGUCUAUUAAGUCAGACGUGAAAGCCCUGGGCUUAACCCGGGAAUUGCGUUUGAUACUGGUAGACUAGAGAUUCAGAGAGGUGAGUGGAAUUCCUAGUGUAGAGGUGAAAUUCGUAGAUAUUAGGAGGAACAUCAGUGGCGAAGGCGGCUCACUGGCUGAAUACUGACGCUGAGGAGCGAAAGCGUGGGGAGCGAACAGG
rnacentral:rRNA from 1 species